CAAUGAAUACUCAGAUCAAGUGUCUGUCUGGAAAGCUGGCAGUUUUCCAGAAAUACAAUUAGGGGGCCCAUUCCAGUGGAACAGAAGUGCUACUUUGGGGGUGGACUGAAACAAGUUGCUGGGCUUCCAUUGGCCAUUGCCACUUGCUUGACGUUGUGAGGAGGGGCCGUGCCUCCACAGGCCCAUACCUGUAACCUGACGAUACUGUUGUGAGCGGGAAUGGAGGAAGUGCAUGGAAGCCCCUCAGCAUGAUGCAUAGUGAACAGACAAGCUGUGAACCUUGGGAGUUAUCACCAUGUGUAAUAAUGCUG
rnacentral:lncRNA from 1 species